UGUGGUCCAGGAGGGGCAGCUAGGGAGGAUAUUUGGGGGCAAAAGGCACGGAUCAGGAUUGCUUCUCCCCGGCUGGCAAGGAAUGGAGAGCGUGAGAAACACUGAAGUUAGGACUAUUUCAGAUCUUCGUUAUGGUAACUCAUGCAAGAAGUUGUUGAAUUAAACCCAUUU